AUUGAACGCUGGCGGCAGGCCUAACACCUGCAAGUCGAGCGGAGCGGCAGAGGGGGGAGUAAUGACUAGGAAGAUGACUGGUAGUGGGGGAUAACGUCCGGAAACGGGCGCUAAUACCGCAUACUAUAAGAUGAACCUGGGUCGGAUGAGCUAGUUGGUGGGGUAAAGGCCUACCAAGGCGACGCUCCGUAACUGGUCUGAGAGGAUGAUCAGUCACACUGGAACUGAGACACGGUCCAGACUCCUACGGGAGGCAGCAGUGGGGAAUAUUGGACAAUGGGCGAAAGCCUGAUCCAGCCAUGCCGCGUGUGUGAAGAAGGUCUUCGGAUUGUAAAGCACUUUAAGUUGGGAGGCGUUACCAACAGAAUAAGCACCGGCUAACUUCGUGCCAGCCGCCGCGGUAAUUC
rnacentral:rRNA from 1 species